GAUGGCGCUGCCUACCGAGUGUCCCAUGUGCUAUUUCCGGUCGUACUCGGAAGCAGGAUUCCCACCUGUAGCUGAUUCGGUUGGUGGUGGCAGGCGGUGUGAGGUUUCUUAACACUGCUCCUGGCGGAACCAGUCAGUAGCCAGCAUGUCUAACAGAAACAAUAACAAGCUGCCCAGCAACUUGCCGCAGUUACAGAAUCUGAUCAAGCGGGAUCCGCCGGCCUACAUCGAGGAGUUUCUACAGCAGUAUAAUCACUACAAAUCCAAUGUGGAGAUUUUCAAAUUACAACCAAAUAAACCCAGCAAAGAACUGGCAGAGCUGGUGAUGUUUAUGGCACAGAUUGGUCACUGCUAUCCAGAACAUUUAAGUAACUUUCCUCAAGAGCUGAAAGAUCUUCUUUCCUACAAUCACACUGUCUUGGAUCCAGAUCUUCGAAUGACAUUUUGCAAAGCUUUAAUCUUGCUGAGAAACAAGAAUCUCAUCAAUCCAUCAAGUUUGCUAGAACUCUUCUUUGAACUUCUGCGUUGCCAUGAUAAGCUUCUGCGAAAGACUUUAUACACACAUAUUGUCACUGAUAUCAAGAAUAUAAAUGCAAAACACAAGAACAAUAAAGUGAACAUAGUGUUGCAGAAUUUCAUGUAUACCAUGUUAAGAGAUAGCAAUGCAACUGCAGCCAAGAUAUCUUUGGAUGUGAUGAUUGAACUCUACAGAAGAAACAUCUGGAAUGAUGCCAAAACUGUCAAUGUGAUAACAACCGCGUGUUUCUCUAAGGUCACUAAGAUAUUAGUUGCUGCUUUGACAUUUUUCCUUGGGAAAGAUGAAGAGGAGAAACAGGACAGCGACUCAGAGUCUGAGGAUGAAGGACCAACAGCAAGAGACCUGCUAGUGCAAUAUGCCACAGGGAAAAAAAGUUCCAAAAACAAGAAAAGGUUGGAAAAGGCUAUGAAAGUGCUCAAGAAACAAAAAAAGAAGAAAAAACCAGAGGUGUUUAACUUUUCAGCUAUUCAUUUGAUUCAUGAUCCCCAAGAUUUUGCAGAAAAACUACUAAAGCAGCUAGAGAGCUCUAAGGAGAGGUUUGAGGUGAAAAUGAUGCUCAUGAACCUCAUCUCCAGAUUGGUGGGAAUUCACGAGCUUUUUCUCUUCAACUUCUAUCCCUUUGUGCAAAGAUUUCUGCAGCCCCACCAAAGAGAGGUAACAAAGAUUCUUCUGUUUGCUGCCCAAGCAUCUCAUCACUUAGUACCCCCAGAGAUCAUUCAGUCAUUGCUCAUGACUGUGGCCAACAAUUUUGUCACCGACAAGAACUCUGGGGAGGUCAUGACAGUAGGAAUCAAUGCUAUAAAAGAGAUAACAGCUCGAUGUCCUCUAGCCAUGACUGAAGAACUUCUCCAAGACCUGGCUCAGUAUAAAACACACAAAGAUAAGAAUGUGAUGAUGUCUGCUAGAACUUUGAUUCAGCUCUUCCGAACACUGAAUCCUCAGAUGUUGCAAAAGAAAUUCCGGGGUAAGCCUACAGAGGCCUCCAUAGAAGCAAGAGUGCAAGAAUAUGGAGAAUUAGAUGCUAAAGAUUACAUUCCAGGAGCAGAAGUUCUAGAAGUUGAAAAAGAAGAGAAUGCUGAAAACGAUGAAGAUGGGUGGGAGACCACCAGUCUCAGUGAGGAGGCAGAUGCCGAUGGUGAGUGGGUUGAUGUGCACCACUCUUCUGAUGAAGAACAGCAAGAAAUCUCCAAGAAGCUCAACAGCAUGCCCAUGGAUGAGCGGAGAGCCAAAGCUGCGGCCGUUAGCACUAGCCGAGUUUUAACUCAGGAAGACUUCCAGAAAAUCCGCAUGGCCCAAAUGAGGAAAGAACUUGACGCUGCACCAGGGAAGGCCCAAAAGAGGAAACACAUUGAAAUAGAUAGUGAUGAGGAGCCCAGGGGUGAGUUACUUUCUCUUCGGGACAUUGAACGCCUUCAUAAAAAACCAAAGUCUGACAAGGAGACAAGACUAGCAACGGCAAUGGCUGGGAAGACAGACCGAAAAGAAUUUGUGAGGAAGAAAACCAAAAUGAACCCAUUUUCUAGUUCCACAAAUAAAGAGAAGAAAAAACAGAAGAACUUCAUGAUGACGCGGUAUAGCCAUAAUGUCCGGUCAAAGAACAAACGUUCCUUCCGAGAAAAGCAGGGUGUACCAGAGUAUAUUUAAAAUAUAUUCUGAAGGAUCACCAGGAAAUCAAGUUAGGACGAAACAAGUGUUCCUAAGUUGCUAGCCAAAGAUGAGCGUGCCAGACCGACAUGUUAAUGGGCAGCUUUCCAGGGCAGUGUUUCAUUUGUGCGGCCACCCAGGCAGUAGCAACUGAAUUAAGCUGGCAUUACGAGAUGCACUUUUGAAAAAGAGAAAAAGAAUGAAGUAACCUCCAAGCAAGUUUUCCAUUCCAAGAAAAAUGCUACAUUUGUAUCGUUAUUUUGAAAAUUAAUCAAGAAUGAUUGUUUACAUUAAAAAGUCCCAAAGUACUGUAUUGUGAAAAACACAGUAAACUUGGUAGCAACUUGGCAUUAUUGUUUUGGAGAUGGGGAAUGGUGGGAAUGUUUGAAAUGUAAACAGUAGUGGUGGUGGUGUAAACUCAUUUCCAUUUGGCAUUCAUGCAAAAAAAAAAAUGUUUUGUGCCUACUGUCAUUGUAGAUAUAAAAAUGAAUGAGCCAUAACCCCUCACAGAAGGCAUUCACAGCCUAUUUGGGACAUAGGAGGGGGCCGAUGUGUGUUGUAUGUGUAUUUAUAGCGCAGUGUAAAUAGUUCUCUAGUAGAGAUAGGUCCCUGCUUCUCUGGGGUCAUAGAGGACUCUGCAGGGCAUGGGAGUUACAUUUUCUCUUAAAACAGGACAAUGUUACAAGAGUAAGAGAUUCUUACUUGUAUAUAGGCUUACCUGCUGAAAACAGGUCCUUGCUGUACAGAUUUUAUGUAGACAAUUUAGCUCUUUUAGUCCAUCCAAAAAACUGUAAGUAUUUUUUUGAAUGCCAGGUAUAGGCUUUUUGGUUAAGACCUCGCUUUUUAAAUUGCCUUAAGUCUAAAUAGUAAUCUUGGAGUGUUUUUUUAGUUUGUCAUUUGAGCCGCCACAGAGGAAAAAGAAAUCAGAUUGGUUUCUUUAGCCUGCCAUCAUGCUGUAAUAUUUUCAGCCUACUGUGCUUUGUCUCAGCAAAAGGUUCCUAAUGUCAGAUAGGUUCCGUUGUGUGUGUUGAGUGCUGUGUUGGUCUCCCUUCCCUGGGCAUGUUUGAGUAGAUUGCAGGGGACACAGAGCCCUGGUCAGUCUCUCUCUGCAAGUUGUUGCAUUUGGAAAUAGUUUGGUGCCUUUGCCUCAGAUUUCUUAGAUAGGAAGAUGUGGUAGAUGAGAAAAUUGUUCUAUGUUACUUUAGAAUAAAAGACAAUUUUCUGCCCACCCAGAAUUAGAAAGUAGCUUCUAAAACCACUUCUCUUGUUCACUUUCUGAGUUCACUUUUGGUUUUAUUUGGAAGAAAUUCCGUGACCUUCCCCAAAGAUGCCCCAGGUCACUGGAGAUAGUUGUGAAAAUCUUGAAGUUUAAUGAUCAAAUUGUACUGGCCUGGUGAGAGGGGCUCUCAGAGUCAACUUUGGCAGCUUCAGUGUUUGACAGGAAGUGUCCAGUCCAAAUUUGAAUAUAUCAGACCUGAAACUGCUCUCUUUCUCACUUUCUUUUUCUCUUUCUCUUUCUUUCUUUCUCUUUUUUUCUAUCUCUAACUCUCCUUCCUUCCUCCUUUCCUUCCUUCCUCCCUCCCUUCCAUCCUUCCUUCCUUCCUUCCUUCCUUCUUUCUUUUUCUUUGCACUUUUGAACUGGGUGUCUCCUCAUGUGUCUAGCUCCAGAGAGGUAAAUAAAAUUCAAAAUGGCUGGGUCACCUGGGUGGCUUAGUCAGUUAAGUGUCUGACUCUAGAUGUCAGCUCAGGUCGUGGCCUCAUGGUUUGUGAGUUUGAGCCCCUCCCAGGCUCUGCGCUGUCAGCAGAGAUUCUCUCUCUCUCUGUCUCUCUCAAAUAAAUAAACUUAAAAAAAAAAUUCAAACUGUCAUAGCAGUUAGGGUUCACAGCUUUGCUGCAUGACUUGUGAUUGUGCCUGGAAGUUUCAUCCUUCUGGAUUUUCCUACCCAACGUAGAGGCCGGGAGGCCAAAACAUCCAUUCUGUGCUCUGACUUCUUAUCUAUUGUGUCUUCACCCUGCUCUUAACUGAGGUUUAUAUGCAAGACAGAAAAAUACCUGGUUUAAAAAGGUGCAAGUCUUGGGGCGCCUGGGUGGCUCAGUCAGUUAAGCGUCCAACUUCGGCUCAGGUCAUGAUCUCAUGGUUUGUGGGUUUGAGCCCCGCGUUGGGCUCUGUGCCACAGAGCCUCUCUCAAAAUAAAUAAACAUUUAAAAAAAUGUCUCUCUCAAAAAUAAAUAAACAUUAAAAAAAAAAAAGGUGAAAGUCUUAUUUCUCUAAUCCCAAAGUAUCUUAAUUCUAUCUGAUUCCUUUUAUUUUGUAAAUUUUACCUUGAGAAUAUUUUCUGUGAACCUGAAGAUCAGAUUCUUACAAGGUUCAAUGCUGUCCAUGAAGGCAGAGUGACCUUCCAGAGUCAUUUUGACCUUGAAGAGGUCAUCAGAGUCUGAGCCUCAACUUUUCAAUGUCAGUUUUUUGUCAGUACUAAGAAUGGAUCCAUUUCAGGGAUGAACUCCCAUUUCCAAGCUCAUACUAUGUAUAUAAAGUGAUGUAUAAAUCUAGAAUACUGAUAUAUUUUGCAUGUGAUCUCAGCAAGUUACACGAAAGGCAGAAUCUGUUCUCUGCCAUAUCCCAGUGCUGGUUCAGUGCACAGUAUGUUAGGUGCUCAAGCAAAUAUUUGAAUACAUGAUUUAUUCCCUGUCAGUUUUCUCUAAGUAUAAUACCACCCACCUCAUUGUUUUGACAAUUUUGAGAAUGUUACAAGCACUUAGCAUAUUUGCCACAGAAUAAGCAUUCGGUAAAUUUCUCAUCAAAGAUAGAUAUUAAGUUUUUAUUUUUAUUUUUGGCUUAAUCUUGAAAUGAAACAACAAUUACAGUUGCUAUAAAUAUUUAUUUUACCAUUCAUCCAUUUUGGGGAGAGUUUGUUUGAAAUAUAAAAAAUGUAAAAUGCAUGAGGUAUGGGUGGCAAACACAAUGUUUGUGCCAUGUAGAAACCUUUGAUCCGAUUAAGGAAAUAGGCUUACAAAAUGACUAUCUAAUGCAAGCUGCUUAUGGAACUAUCAAAAAAGGCACAGCAUAGGGCUGAGGGCAUCCUAAAAAGGGGGAAGUUCAGGUGGCAGGAGGGUGAAAGGCUAUUUGCUAACAAACUGAUGCUUAUGAUGAACAGGAAAGCAAUAAGAAAUAAAUUACUGAAUCAUAAAGGAAAAGUUACAGUUUAAAAGGUGGUAUAGGGGCGCCUGGGUGGUGCAGUUGGUUAAGCGGCCGACUUCGGCUCAGGUCAUGAUCUCACGGUCCGUGAGUUCGAGCCCCGCGUCUGGGCUCUGUGCUGACAGCUCAGAGCCUGGAGCUUGCUUCGGAUUCUGUGUCUCCCUCUCUCUCUGCCCCUCCCCCACUCGCACUCUGUAUCUCUCUCUCUCUCUCAAAACUAAAGAUUAAAAAAAAGUGGUAUAUAAUUUCUUGAAGGUUAUAGUUAACAUAAACUUUGUUUUCAUUACCUCAUAUUCUAAUUCUUUGAGAAUUUAUAAUCUACUUAAAGUGUCACAUGGUGACUCAGAAUUAAUCAGAAUAUUUAAUUAGAAUAUUCUGUUCUUCAAACUAUUUUAGAUAAGCAUAUUUAAACUGUGUUACCAAGGAUAAUAAAGUUCUACCAAGUGACAUUCUUUCAUUGUAUAAAAAUAAAAAUAAAAAUUCUUUUUUUUUUUUUUUUUAGAAUGUAUUUUAUGAGAUUUUUUUUAAAGAUCUUGAAAAUGAAUAGAAAAGUAAGGCACUGACAUGGAGCCUUUUCUCUUUUAUAAGGAAAUAAAGUUUUCUCUCCUAGUACAGUCUUUGGUCAGUACUUAUUUAAAAAUGUAGAUGGGGGGGCGCCUGGGUGGCUCAGUCCGUUAAGCGGCCGACUUCGGCUCAGGUCAUGAUCUCACGGUCCGUGAGUUCGAGCCCCGCGUCGGGCUCUGUGCUGACAGCUCAGAGCCUGGAGCCUGUUUCAGAUUCUGUGUCUCCCUCUCUCUGACCCUCCCCCGUUCAUGCUCUGUCUCUCUGUCUCAAAA